GAUGAAGAACGCAGCGAAAUGCGAUAAGUAAUGUGAAUUGCAGAAUUCAGUGAAUCAUCGAAUCUUUGAACGCACCUUGCGCCUUUUGGUAUUCCGAAAGGCACACCUGUUUGAGCGUCAUGAAUACCUCAAUCUCCAUCUUUUCUUCGGAUUGAUGGGUGACUUGGAUGUUGAGCCCUGCUGGUAUGCUAUAUCAGCUGGCUUUAAACUUAUUAGCCGGCUCUGUACUGGAUCGGUUUGACUCGACGUGAUAAUAUUAUCGUUGAGGAUGCAUGUCUCAUGCAGCCGGAAAGUAUAAAAGCAGCUUCUAGCUUGCCUUUAGUGCACUUUUACAUUUUAGACCUCAGAUCAGGUGGGACUACCCGCUGAACUUAAGCAUAUCAAUAAGCGGAGGA
rnacentral:misc_RNA from 1 species